GGGCCAUAGCUCAGCAAUACAGCCUCUGCUUUGCAUUCAGAAGGUCCCAGGUUCAAUCCCUGUCAUCUCCA